AGUGAACUGGUGGUGUACCUGUUUGCUCUGUUCACCUAUGGAGACUCACAAAGAGUCCCUGUGCUGCAGCGAAUUUCAGCGAUGCCAGUUUCUUCGCGAUGAAAUGGCUGAAUCUGGCGAGGAAGGGGCCGUGUGUGUAACAUCUCACCCAGGCUUUACGCCUCAUCUGAACCGUUGGGUAUUGGACACUUAUUUCCGUACCCAGAAAAUAAACUGGAAACGCCAGCCAAAGCCCGCCGGGAGAAACGGACGUCUGAGCACAGAUAUAGGCUAACAUCUUACCGGCAUUUCCUGGAGUGGAUACUGCAAGGUGAGAGACUUGGGAGAGGCAAUCGCCUUGUUUUGCCAGCGUGUGUUGUCCAGGCCAUCAGGGCUAAUUACCCAACACAAGAUGGGCAGUACCGUGGCUACCAGGAGACGGUAGAUGCCCAAGAUGAGCUGUGAUAUUUAGCAAACUCACCAUACGUUUUGUUUUUGUAUAUAGAUUAUAUUUUAUGAAUAAAACUUCAAA